GGUGAUGACGCCGAGCAGCAGUGCCCAGCGGUGACCAUGCCUGCCGUUGUGGUGUACCUACUGUUUUCCAGCAGCGAAUUCACUCCGGAUACAGUAAAAGCGUAUAAGUCCAUGGAAGCGUACAAUUACUUCGAGUCAGGUCUUGUGAGGAGCUGUAGACUCUGGUUACCGGACAGGAAGGUCAGCUUCGUCAGAGCAGAAGUAAUGCCAUCACAACGUGUCACCCAAAAGGGCCAUGACGUGUGGGUCUGCAUUGACUCUCUCACUGAGCAAGUGCUUACAGCCCACUGUCAAUGCAUGGCAGGGUAGGUGUGACAACGGUUCUGUUUCUCGAUUUAGCUUGUAGACAUGCUUAACUAAUGCCUUAUUCACACGUCUCAGCCUCAGUACUGUGUGCAGCCAUGUAGCAGCAGUCCUCUUUGCUGUUGAGUAUGCCUCACAAAAGCGUGAUGUUUCAUGCACGUCGAAGCAAUGCGUCUGGAACAAGGCGACGUCAAAAAAGGAAAAUAUGGUGGCCCUGGAUGAACUGGACUUGAGCAAACCCCGAAAAGCAAAAAGGCUAAUGAAGACGGAACCACCAUACACAUCCGAACAAUAUUCAGCUACGGACAAAAAUAUCUUCGAUGAGCUAAAAAGGAUUGCCCCAGGUGCCGUUGUACUCCGAAGUAUCCCAAAACUCGAUCCAGAAGACACUGACUCUGGUUCAGAAGACGAGCAAUGCUAUACGCUACUCAGAUCAAGACAUUUAAAACGACGUCAUCCCCAGAGAGCAUUUUGGAUGUGGUGCUGCAACGACGGAGUACUCCACAAACUGAAGCCAUGAAGUGGGGCCUCGACAACGAAAACAAUGCAAAGCACCACUAUGCUAAUUACAUGAAAGCAUGUCACAGGAACUUCCGUCUGUACGAUGCUGGCUUCGUGAUUGACCCUGUGGACCACUUCCUCGGCGCCUCACCUGAUGGUGUUUGGGCAUGUGAUUGCCAUGGUGUCGGCUUGCUGGAGAUCAAAUGCCCCUUCUCUCUGAGACAGCCAAGUAGGACGACACGUGAAGCAACAUGUUUGACCCAGAAUGGCAACGUAGACAAGAACCACCCUUACUACACACAGAUUCAGACCCAGCUGCAUGUGUGUCAAAAGGAAGUGUGUCAUUUUGUUGUCUGGGUUCCUCAUGAAUUCUCUGUAACAAUUGUACAGUAUGAUCGAGUAUUUUUCAGCCAUGUCCUGGAAAA